rnacentral:rRNA from 1 species
UACAGAGGUCCCGAGCGUUGUUCGGAUUCACUGGGCGUAAAGGGUGCGCAGGUGGUCGGGUAAGUCUGAUGUGAAAUCCCGCAGCUUAACUGCGGAAUGGCAUUGGAUACUAUUCGGCUAGAGGGUCGGAGGGGGGACUGGAAUUCUCGGUGUAGCAGUGAAAUGCGUAGAUAUUGAGAGGAACACCAGUGGCGAAGGCGAGUCCCUGGACAACUCCUGACGCUGAGGCACGAAAGCUAGGGGAGCAAACAGG